GACGAACGCUGGCGGCGUGCUUAACACAUGCAAGUCGAACGGAAAGGCCCUGCUUUUGUGGGGUGCUCGAGUGGCGAACGGGUGAGUAACACGUGAGUAACCUGCCCUUGACUUUGGGAUAACUUCAGGAAACUGGGGCUAAUACCGGAUAGGAGCUCCUGCUGCAUGGUGGGGGUUGGAAAGUUUCGGCGGUUGGGGAUGGACUCGCGGCUUAUCAGCUUGUUGGUGGGGUAGUGGCUUACCAAGGCUUUGACGGGUAGCCGGCCUGAGAGGGUGACCGGCCACAUUGGGACUGAGAUACGGCCCAGACUCCUACGGGAGGCAGCAGUGGGGAAUAUUGCACAAUGGGCGGAAGCCUGAUGCAGCAACGCCGCGUGCGGGAUGACGGCCUUCGGGUUGUAAACCGCUUUCGCCUGUGACGAAGCGUGAGUGACGGUAAUGGGUAAAGAAACACCGGCCAACUACGU
rnacentral:rRNA from 1 species